rnacentral:lncRNA from 1 species
UUGGCUACUCUGAAGGAGCUGAGAAGGAAGGGGUCGGGGAUGACCCCAACUCUGUGAAGAGGAAGAGGAGCAACAGUUCCGCCAUCAUCGUCAGAGUGCAGAAGAUUCUGUCCUCAUCUAAUGUUGAACAGCCUGCGGUCAGGGAAGAAGCGCACGCCCAGAAAAUGAGGCGGGAACAAAUGGACUACGUCCUAUCAGAGGAGUGCCAGAAGAUCCUCAAUGCUAAGUCCCGCCAUGGGGCCGGACUUCAGGUGUUUUAGAAUAAUUCCUGGCGGAGUACCAUUUGCAGAAGCGCUACUUUGAUCCCCUGGUGAAGAAGGAGGCGAUGGAGGAGAAGAUGCGGAAAUUCUGAGAGCAGAAGUGUCGAGCGGUCACCUGUAAAAAGGUCAGUUAACCCCCUGGUUCUUGAGUGGAGUUAUUAUUUUAUUAAAUCGGCAUUUACAAUACACCAGUUCAUUACAGAUGGAGUGAGUCUUGAGUGGAGAUUAAAGCUUAUGUUAUUUCUUAGCGACACCAUUAAGCAGAUGGGAAACAUUGUCUUCCCAAUUGCGUUCAGUGCUUAUGCUGACUUUCAUUGUACUAUGAUACAUUAGUGUAAUAGUAAAUACUGUCCACUUGAGCUUAAGAUAUUUUUCUGUUUUUUUUCUCUGUUUUAUACAGUCAUUUCCCUCUUUAAAGGGGGUCAGUUACUUUUGUCUUUGCUGUAAAUUAGCAUGAGUCAACAUACCACCGACUCCCAUCUCUGUCUAACCACCCGGGAUUUCAAGGGCCAACGUUCACAUUUCCAUAACUGCUGAGCUGCAGUAGUAGACAGAUUUGAUCAGACUAUUUUUCGUUGCUCUGACGUGGUUGCUAAGUGGACGCUGUUGACCAUGUCUCCAGUGUAAGUACACCUACUUCAAGCCUGCUGAUGGCCGUGUUGAGGAGACGCGUGAGCUGUUUUUGUACUUCUUCAAAUGUCCCUGUGGACAGAAAGCCAUUGUGCUGGACCGCCUGCCACACAAACUAUUUAGGUGAGAGACACUGUACACACUCUCUCUCACACACACACACAUCUAACAGUUUAGACACCCAAACAUAUUAUAACGCUGUGUUCUCUGUUGCAGUAACUGUGGCAUUCAAAUGGGAAAGAGAUGGCAUGCUGAAGGGAAGCGUCGUGUUUUUGUGGAUUUGUAGUUCAGCUGGACCGAGAAGUCGGGGCCCAAGAUUCUCAACCGCAUGAAGAAGUCCUCCCCUCUGAUCAUCACCGUCUUAGUUUUUAUCCUAUACAGCUCUUUAUUUUUAGGUCAUGCAACCAUUUUAAAGUCAUUAAUAGUUGAUUGUGGGUUUUAAAUGACUGUAUUGUUAAUGAAUUGGAUUGUUGCUUUGAGUAGUGUUUCCACCCCUGUUACAAAUGUGCUUAUUAAAUCCAGUGAUUUUCCAACAAUCUCAUCUGCCUUUUUGUCUGACUUGACUCACUUGAAGGAAUUGUCUCCUGUUCCUUAUUUGGUACUUGAUCUUAGAAGGACCAAGAUGGUUAGA